CAAAAAAGAAAAUAUAGUUUAAAGGACACACAUAUGAAUCAUUGUGUAUGUGUGAAGAAUAGAUAGAGACGACACUUGAAAUACAAUAAGCCAUGAACUUGGUAUCUUUUUUUUUCUAUCACCUUUUUUAAUGUCGUCUAGACGCGAAAUGGGAGUUGCGAAAAAUGUGGUAUAGCACGACUCGCGGAAUGCAGCAGGCGAGGUUUCGCAUUUCUUAAAUGUUUGAUAAUUCGAAUUGCAAGUUUCAAAAAUCUGUAAAGUAUUGGUUAGGCGAAACUAAUUGAAUACGUGCUUACAUAUUGGCGAGCAGCGCCGGAGCGAUCGUUGAAGCAAUCAGGUUUUCAGAGGCCUCCUUGUCCUUGGCGGAGGGUUACCCGUAUGUAUUUCAGCGGUUGCAGAUUUUGCCCCGCUUUUCGCUACACCACCCAGGACUAUAUCGAAAUGAACGCGACUUCGAGAAGAAUCUUUUUCUUUCGUUUGUGAUCUUUAUUUUCUAUUUUUUCCUAAGUUUAAAUAAACGAGGUGAGAUUAGUUUUUA